UCCAAUAUUUUCCCGCCCAAACUGCCUACAUCCCUCACUUCUCUUUUGCGUCAUUUCUAUUCUUCGUUUACGCUUUCCAAUAUUUUUUUAAAAUCACGCUGGCCAGUUACCAAUUUAUGGCUGUGACCAUUGCUAUUUCCUAGGAUUUUUAGAUCUACUGUUUCAAUUUCCCUUGCUUUAAAAGUUUUUUAUGGAAAAACCAUGGAAGGAAACCGAGAAGUUACUGAUUCAAUUUACUCCAAUACUUGUAAUUUUUUUGCUCAAAUUCUUAUUAGUUUUUCCUGUUUCUCGAACAAAUUGCUAUGAUUGAUUAUGUAUUUUUGAUUUUCGGGUAGCUUAAACUUCGGAUUGUUGCAGCUCUUGAACAACUCCAAUGGCAGCUUUGGGUAAUUAGAACUCCAAGUUUAUUUCUCGAAUGUGGGUAAUCACGUUCUACCACUAUGGAAACUGUACUAUUUUGAAUCUAUUUGAAUUCUGAUUUAUGUUUUAACUUUUUUUUCAUUUGAAAUCUUUUUUGUUUUUGAGAGUGAAUUGGAGGAUGGGAUAAAAGUUCUUUCUAUUUUGACAUGGGUGAAGAUGAAUAGCAGAAGAUUCUGGCAAAGAUAUGAGGACGACGUUCUGAAUAGGAAUAACGACGAGGGCGGCUAAGUCGGCGGUAGCAAGGUGUGUCCAUGUCGUCUGUAACGGUGUUUCCGGAAUAAAUUUGAGUUUUGAUUGGAUUUAUCAAUAUACUCAGUAGUUUGCAGUAAUUGGAGGAAUUUUGAUUGGAUUUAUCAAUAUAGUUUGAAGUGGGUUUGGACGGAAUACAUAUUUAAUAUUUUGUUUUGAAGAUGUAUGAAACUUGAGAUUAUUAUACACUUAUGUCGUUCCAUUUAAUUAUUUAAUACAUCUAUGCUUAAUGAAGA